rnacentral:rRNA from 1 species
GCUCAAUUUGAAUCUGGCGCCUUCGGUGUCCGAGUUGUAAUUUGAAGAUUGUAACCUUGGGGUUGGCUCUUGUCUAUGUUUCUUGGAACAGGACGUCACAGAGGGUGAGAAUCCCGUGCGAUGAGAUGCCCAAUUCUAUGUAAGGUGCUUUCGAAGAGUCGAGUUGUUUGGGAAUGCAGCUCUAAGUGGGUGGUAAAUUCCAUCUAAAGCUAAAUAUUGGCGAGAGACCGAUAGCGAACAAGUACAGUGAUGGAAAGAUGAAAAGAACUUUGAAAAGAGAGUGAAAAAGUACGUGAAAUUGUUGAAAGGGAAGGGUUUGAGAUCAGACUCGAUAUUUUGUGAGCCUUGCCUUCGUGGCGGGGUGACCCGCAGCUUAUCGGGCCAGCAUCGGUUUGGGCGGUAGGAUAAUGGCGUAGGAAUGUGACUUUACUUCGGUGAAGUGUUAUAGCCUGCGUUGAUGCUGCCUGCCUAGACCGAGGACUGCGAUUUUAUCAAGGAUGCUGGCAUAAUGAUCCCAAACCGCCCGUCUUGAACACGGA